rnacentral:rRNA from 1 species
UACGUAGGUGACCAGCGUUGUCCGGAUUUACUGGGCGUAAAGAGCGCGCAGGCGGUCGUUCAAGUCGAGUGUGAAAGCCCCCGGCUCAACUGGGGAGGGUCAUUCGAUACUGAUCGACUUGAAGGCAGGAGAGGGAAGCGGAAUUCCUGGUGUAGCGGUGAAAUGCGUAGAUAUCGGGAGGAACACCAGUGGCGAAGGCGAGUCUCUGGGAUGAUGCUGACGCUGAGGCGCGAAAGCCAGGGGAGCAAACGGG